GUAGGAUUACCCUCUGUUGGAAUUUGUCUAAUAUUUUCCUCAUAGUUAGACUGAGGUUAUGGGUUUGAGGGAAGAACACAAAGUCAAAGUGCCAUUUCACCACAUCGUAUCAUGGUCACUAUUCCAUCAAAAUAAUGUAUGACUGCUGAUGUUGGUCUUCAUCACUCUGCUGAUGCCAUUUUUGUCAAGAUUCUCUGCUGUAAAAUUCCUGAUGUUUCUCUCUUUCCAUAUUGAUUCUUUGAAAGGAGCACAGUUUCAAGAGAUUUAAUGAUCAUCUCCGUUGAAGACUGCUCAAAGAUCCCCCUUGCAUCAUGGCGUUCUUCAUGUAUAAAUAUUUAUAAACUAUGCAUUUUAAAUAGACCACUUGUUUUAAACUAGGAUGAACUGCCAGUGAAUAUUUCAUCACUAACAUCACCAACAUGGACAGACGAAAUAGAUCUUAGGGACAAUGCCGAAGACACUGUAGAAGAAAUAGUUUAGUAGUGUUUAUAAUUGAAUGGGUGUCAACUCAAAGAGUUGGAAGGUGAAUCACAAUAAAUUAGCCUGUACUGGAAGUCUAAGUGGAAAAGAAUUGGCAGGUAAUAAUUUAGCAGAAAUUACCUGUCUCAACGUGAAUUCCAUUCCAAAAAGAUUCCAGUUCUUCCCACCCACUGUCCAUUUGGGAUGUCUUUAGAAAAGACAGAGGGUGUGAAAUCUAAAGCAGUUCAUUUAGUUUCUUCAUAAGAAGUU